GUCGACUUAUUCGAUCUAGCAGUCGAUCACGGAACGCUUAGGUGUGCAUUUAUCGCAUUAUUUUAACAUCAAAACUGUAAAAGUGAUACAGAAGUUAUUGUAUGUCGUGAUACACGUGGAUCUAAAAAAAAAUUUAGAAAGUAUUGUGCAUUACAAUAUCGUGAUCAUUAUAAAAAAAAAAUAAAAAAACAAAUAUAAUAAAAAUACUAAAAAUAUCGAAAGCGUGAACAUAACUACUUUUUAUAAGCAUAGAAUAGUAUAUAAAUUAUAAGUUCAUAUUUUUUUUCGUUAUUCAUAAGAAAGCAAGAACAUCGAAAACACAUUUCCUCCACCAGAAGAAAUAUGUCGUACUUCGGAACGAAACUUGCUGUUUUUAUGCUUGUGUGUGGCAUUGUUUUCAGUCAAAGUGAUAAUAGAGAGAUCGAUAAUUCAGACAAGAUCGUUUUCCCUGGACAAACCGGCCAAGAUGACAUCGAUAAUGUAAGAAGAUCUAUAGAACCUUCGAAAUCAGAUGACGACGUAUUAUCGACUUCAUUAAGAAUUGCUCAACAAAUAAAUUCGAUGUCAUCGUACGAAGAAUUUCUCAAAUUUAUCAAUGUGCCUCCAGAAAAAAAAAUUCUAAUAGCUGGUAGAACCGGAGGUAGCGAAGAAAAAUCAAACGCGGAACGACCAAAGCCAGCUGGCUGUAUGCCGGAAAAUCAAACAAUAUCUUUGAGACCAGAAAAUAAAUUUUCGACAUUUUAUUAUCCUUCUUGUACGAGAGUCAAAAGAUGCGGUGGAUGUUGUGGACAUUAUCUACUCAGUUGUCAACCAAUUGAAACUGAAACUCGAAAUUUUGAGGUAAUAGUUUCGGAACUCAAUUCAGAUUUACAAGUGACAUAUAGGAAUAGAGAAAUUAUCCCGGUGGAGGAACACACGAAAUGCAAAUGUGACUGCAAAAUUAAGGCAGAGCAUUGCAACGAGAAGCAAUCCUACAGAAGGGACGAAUGUAGAUGCGUUUGUGUAAAUAUCGACGAAGAAAACAAAUGCAAGGCAAAUGGAGGUGUUAAAAUCUGGGACAGUGAAACCUGUACGUGUGCUUGCAGAGAGAGCGAAAUAUGUUCGACAGGCUUUUAUUUCGACAACAAUACGUGCAGGUGUGAAAAACAAAAAUAAAAGGAAACUGCUAAACGGAAAAAUUCUACACUAUUAAACGUCUAUUCUUCUCUCUAUCAUUAUCUUGUGUCGACAAGUUCCAAUAUUAUCAAAGUUUGGUGAUAUAUCUAGAAAGACCGGAUACAGGUUCGGACAAACUGAAAGGCCUGAAAGCGUACCACCUGUGAUAGUAACUUUGGAUGCGUCAGAUCCAA
rnacentral:misc_RNA from 1 species